UACGUAGGGUGCGAGCGUUAAUCGGAAUUACUGGGCGUAAAGCGUGCGCAGGCGGUUUUGUAAGCCAGAUGUGAAAUCCCCGGGCUUAACCUGGGAAUGGCAUUUGGGACUGCAAGGCUCGAGUGCGGCAGAGGAGACUGGAAUUCCUGGUGUAGCAGUGAAAUGCGUAGAUAUCAGGAGGAACACCGGUGGCGAAGGCGGCAUCCUGGACCGACACUGACGCUGAGGAGCGAAAGCCAGGGGAGCAAACGGG
rnacentral:rRNA from 1 species